rnacentral:lncRNA from 1 species
CCGCGCGCGGCAACCAAUCUCCCAUCUCUUGGAUCGCUCGUGGUGGAGCGAAUGCAGGGCAUCGUUUCUACAGGUGCAGCGAGAGAGAUGUAAGUUGCAGAUUAAACACUGCAUGAUUAAUCCAGUCAGAUCCGUUUUUAAUUAUUGUGUGUGCCGAUCCUUUUGAUUCUGCAGGGUGUACUUUGUGGAUUCAUGAGAUCGAAAGAGGAGUACAAGGUGAAUAGCGUACGAGGUGAUUUGGGAAUAGAGCUGCUGCCGGAUUUCAUUAUCGAGGUGGUGCUGUUCUUAUCUGUCUGAAGCUUACACGUAUUUCAGCUUGGAAAAGCUAGCACAAAUGUAAAUUUGGAAAAGAUAUUCGGGAAGUCGUAAUCCUGGGGGGAGGGGGAUGGGGAAUGUUAGUUACCAUCCAUCUUGAUGUGGUGUGAUAAUGGUUCCCAUAGUUUUCCAUGCUAGUAUAUAUCAUGGUGUUUUGAGCCACUGAUUACAGUUUAGCUUGCACCCCGUACAUUUGGUGUGUAAGACUGUAAGUGAUUGUCAUCACUCUGCGCUUACUAUAUUUAUUUGUGUGUAAUCCCAUGUGAUGACACUACGCGCCUUAUGUGAGCUGCUUGAUGAUAACAUGGAACUACUCGAUGCUUGUACUGGUUUAUAUAAUGUGGCUGACUUGUUGUGUGGUAUUCAGUUAAGUUUGGG